rnacentral:rRNA from 1 species
GAUGAACGCUAGCGGCAGGCCUAAUACAUGCAAGUCGGACGGGAUUUGGGAGCUUGCUCCUAAUGAGAGUGGCGCACGGGUGCGUAACACGUAUGUAACCUACCUUAAUCAGGGGGAUAGCCUCUCGAAAGAGAGAUUAACACCGCAUAACAUAUUUUUAUGGCAUCGUAGAAAUAUCAAAUAUUUAUAGGAUUAAGAUGGGCAUGCGGAACAUUAGCUAGUUGGUAAGGUAACGGCUUACCAAGGCUACGAUGUUUAGGGGAUCUGAGAGGAUGACCCCCCACACUGGUACUGAGACACGGACCAGACUCCUACGGGAGGCAGCAGCAAGGAAUAUUGGUCAAUGGGCGCAAGCCUGAACCAGCCAUGCCGCGUGCAGGAAGACGGCCCUAUGGGUUGUAAACUGCUUUUGUACCGGAAUAAACCCUUUUACGUGUAGAAGGCUGAAUGUACGGUAAGAAUAAGGAUCGGCUAACUCCGUGCCAGCAGCCGCGGUAA